GUGAGUGCCAGGUAGCUAUUGAUACCUAGGCUUCCAUAGUGUGAGGAGGAAUUUAAUGUUGCAGACACAGGUAUUUAAAUCCCUAUUUAAAGAACUGCAUACAGUGCUCACUGUCAUGCAUACAGCUCACCUAUCAGGCUGGGGCCACUAACUAUGACCCCAGCCGAGAGAGGGGAGCCCCGGGUAUUGACUGAUACCUUAGUCUUCUGGUG